AAUCCAACAGUCGGUACCCUGACUGCAAACCGAGAAGCACUGAUGGGCACGGUUUACGUAAAACCCCAGCGUUAAGGGGUCUUAAUCUUCGGUAGACCAACACCGAUCACUUGAUAGUUUGAGGCGCCAGUUGUUCGUCUCGUCGAACCAGGGAUCAUGGGCACUCGGAUAUUUGUUCCGAGACUCACCCCCCGGUACCGCUGAGUUGUCCGCGACUGCUUAUUUAUUCGCAGCUGCCUAAUAUAUCUGUUGGACGUCUUACGAUCCGCAACCUGUGGACGCGUCCGGUAGCAUCCAGCUAUGCUUCCGAUAAUCGGCCGGAGGCUUUAACCCGAGCUCAUUUUUCAAUAUUUGCCGAAUGGAAUAUUGCGAUAUGUUUAGCUCACGAGCCAUUUUUCGGCCACUGCGACGCGGGUUUCGAUUAAGUCGUUUCUUUACUUUUCGAACCAUUUCGCUGAUGUUGCUGUUUUCUUCCGUCCACUACCUUGACGUCGAGCUACGAUACCGGUAUGACGGUAACGGGCGAUGGUAUGAGACACAAAAGAUUUAUUCACAUUUUACUGCUGGAGUGCGCUAACGCUAGCCACUUGUGCUUUUUCAGCCAAAUAUAAAGAAAUCAGACCAUCACGCUUGAUAUCCAUCACGAAUAACGUUUUUUCUCAAAAGUUCUCACCAAAAUGCUAUUGUUCGGUUGUAAACCAUAUAAUGAGCUGUCACUGGAAUAAUUUUCAUAGCUGUUUGACGAGUGGCUUAGAAAUGACAGCAGCCUGAAGUUUAUUGCAAUUUUCUCAUCCCACCCUGUAAAAAAAACUGAGGGAAAAUGUUUUUUUUCACAAUUCAUUUGUUUAUUUACUAUACAUCUCUUUUUCAAUUUCCACAGCGGAACCCUUUACAAUUUGAGCGAGUUUUUGUUAUAGUACCCCAUUUAAACAGAAAUGGUACGAUAAAACAUCCAAACAAAACAGAAACUAUGACAAAAUAUUGGAAAAGGUGCUUCUCUAGCAUAGUGUUGUUCGAAGACAGCUCCAAAGUUGUGAUUCUUCUUAAAUGUUGACUCCCACUGACAGGCAAGUUGGAAAUCUUCGUUACGGACUUGAUGCAUAUCUUUUGCACACAGCCCUCCAGAGGUCUGGAAGUAGUCAUAGCCAUAAAUAUAAAAUACAAAACCACAGAUUUGCCAAUUCAAUCAGAGACAUAAAUAAAUUCAAUUACAAAGAACACUGAUCCAAUCGAUAAGAAGUCAGUUGUUGUUGCGUAGGCCUCGAUGAGAUCACAUUUAAUUCACCGCGUAUUUAAGUAACAAAUAUUUAUCUGAAAAACAAUGAAAUUAUUCAGUUCUCUCUCCAGUGUAUUAUUAUUUUGUACUAUCCUAUCUGGAUGUGUUAUCAGUUCGCGUGCCAGACCCGAAAGCAUAGUUAGAUAUAACUGUUGCACAUUUACAUGCGGUAUCGCCUGUCAUGGUUAAUAAGGCGCAUUCACACUUUUUAGGGCAGAUCUUCAACGCUGGGUCAUUGUCAGCAAGUGUAUUUCUUUUUUCUCAAAUAAUGUAAUAAAUUAUGUAGAAACUUAUGGCAUAAAAAUAAAUAACUAAUCAAAACCAUAA